UACAGAGGUCCCGAGCGUUGUUCGGAUUCAUUGGGCGUAAAGGGCGCGUAGGCGGUGCGGUAAGUCACCUGUGAAAUCUCCUGGCUCAACUGGGAGCUUGCAGGCGAAACUGCCGUGCUGGAGUGUGGGAGAGGUGCGUGGAAUUCCUGGUGUAGCGGUGAAAUGCGUAGAUAUCAGGAGGAACACCUGUGGCGAAAGCGGCGCACUGGACCACAACUGACGCUGAGGCGCGAAAGCUAGGGGAGCAAACAGG
rnacentral:rRNA from 1 species